GGACGGGCGAGUAAUACUUAGGAAUCUACCUAGUAGUGGGGGAUAGCUCGGGGAAACUCGAAUUAAUACCGCAUACGACCUACGGGAGAAAGGGGGCAGUUUACUGCUCUCGCUAUUAGAUGAGCCUAAGUCGGAUUAGCUAGAUGGUGGGGUAAAGGCCUACCAUGGCGACGAUCUGUAGCUGGUCUGAGAGGAUGAUCAGCCACACCGGGACUGAGACACGGCCCGGACUCCUACGGGAGGCAGCAGUGGGGAAUAUUGGACAAUGGGGGAAACCCUGAUCCAGCCAUGCCGCGUGUGUGAAGAAGGCCUUUUGGUUGUAAAGCACUUUAAGCAGUGAAGAAGACUCCUCGGUUAAUACCCGUGGACGAUGACAUUAGCUGCAGAAUAAGCACCGGCUAACUCUGUGCCAGCAGCCGCGGUAAUACAGAGGGUGCAAGCGUUAAUCGGAAUUACUGGGCGUAAAGCGAGCGUAGGUGGCUUGAUAAGUCAGAUGUGAAAUCCCCGGGCUUAACCUGGGAACUGCAUCUGAAACUGUUAGGCUAGAGUAGGUGAGAGGAAGGUAGAAUUCCAGAUGUAGCGGUGAAAUGCGUAGAGAUCUGGAGGAAUACCGAUGGCGAAGGCAGCCUUCUGGCAUCAUACUGACACUGAGGCUCGAAAGCGUGGGUAGCAAACAGGAUUAGAUACCCUGGUAGUCCACGCCGUAAACGAUGUCUACUAGUCGUUGGGUCCCUUGAGGACUUAGUGACGCAGCUAACGCAAUAAGUAGACCGCCUGGGGAGUACGGCCGCAAGGUUAAAACUCAAAUGAAUUGACGGGGGCCCGCACAAGCGUGGAGCAUGUGGUUUAAUUCGAUGCAACGCGAAGAACCUUACCUGGUCUUGACAU
rnacentral:rRNA from 1 species